rnacentral:rRNA from 1 species
GCCUACGGGGGGCAGCAGUAGGGAAUAUUGCUCAAUGGGGGAAACCCUGAAGCAGCAACGCCGCGUGGAGGAUGAAGGUUUUCGGAUUGUAAACUCCUUUUGUUAGAGAAGAUAAUGACGGUAUCUAACGAAUAAGCACCGGCUAACUCCGUGCCAGCAGCCGCGGUAAUACGGAGGGUGCAAGCGUUACUCGGAAUCACUGGGCGUAAAGAGCGCGUAGGCGGGAUGGCAAGUCAGAUGUGAAAUCCUAUGGCUUAACCAUAGAACUGCAUUUGAAACUGUUAUUCUAGAUUAUGGGAGAGGUA